GGCCGCCGCCCUUCCUGGGCGUUUCCUCCCUGAACUUGGCCGCUCUCACGAGCGGCCAUUUUUUUGCCCUGG
rnacentral:sRNA from 1 species